rnacentral:rRNA from 1 species
AGAGUUUGAUCCUGGCUCAGGACGAACGCUGGCGGCGUGCUUAAUACAUGCAAGUCGAACGGACUUCCUCCCUUCGGGGAAGAAGUUAGUGGCGAACGGGUGAGUAACACGUGAGCAACCUACCCUUGACACUGGAAUAACAGCUGGAAACAGCUGCUAAUACCGGAUACGACUCCUCUCGGCAUCGCGAGGAGUGGAAAGCUCCGACGGUCAAGGAUGGGCUCGCGGCCUAUCAGCUUGUUGGUGAGGUAACGGCUCACCAAGGCUUCGACGGGUAGCCGGCCUGAGAGGGCGACCGGCCACACUGGGACUGAGAUACGGCCCAGACUCCUACGGGAGGCAGCAGUAGGGAAUAUUGCACAAUGGGCGAAAGCCUGAUGCAGCAACGCCGCGUGCGGGAUGACGGCCUUCGGGUUGUAAACCGCUUUCAGCUCCGACGAAGCGCAAGUGACGGUAGGAGCAGAAGAAGGACCGGCCAACUACGUG